UUUUUAUGAGAGUUUGAGCCUGGCUCAGGACGAACGCUGGCGGCGUGCCUAAUAUAUGCAAGUCGAACGCUUCUUUUUCCACCGGAGAAUGCGCCACCGGAAAAAGAGGAGUGGCGAACGGGU
rnacentral:rRNA from 1 species